rnacentral:rRNA from 1 species
GGUAUUCCGAGGAGCAUGCCUGUUUGAGUGUCAUUAAAUUCUCAACCAUGUCUUGAUGGUUUUGUCAAGUGCAUGGCUUGGACUUGGGGGUUGCUGGCGAAUACAUGUUUGCAUUUGUCGGCUCUUCUAAAAUGCAUUAGCAAUCGGUCUAGUCUUUGAUGUGCAUGGCCUUUGAUGUGAUAAAUCAACAGUUUGAUCAUCAUGGCUAAAGUGUCUUUGAUUAGCUAUUGCUUAUAAUUCAGAUUGAUUGGUAUGCCUCAGAUUAAGCUAAGCACUAAGCUUUAGUUACUAGUCAGUCAGGCUGGCGAACACAAAGCAAAGAGCAGGGUAAAAUCUAGGGUUGAGAUUAGGCUGAGCGGCUGAAUGGCUGAGCUUUAGUUAUUAGUUAGCCCAUAAGGCUGGCAAACACAAAGUGAAAGUGAAUUCAGGCUUAGGCUCAGGCUAAUUUCUUUCUGGGCAUAGCCUAUGUAUCAAAUUUUAAUUGGUUGACCUCAAAUCAGGUAGGACUACCCGCUGAACUUAAGCAUAUCAAUAAGCGGAGGAAAAGAAACUAACAAGG